GCUAUUUAAAAGAAUAUAUAUUUAAGUUUUAUCCAGUUGUUUACCUGGGGCGGGAACCUUCAUUAGAGUAACGAGGGUAGACAAAGGCAUACUAAAAGUGAACUAUAAAGCUGUGCUUAACUGUGAGAAACACUAUUCAAGCAGAUGUAUAUCUAUAAGUUAAAAUCUAAAUUAUAUCUUAUGGAAAAGCAGGUAGUAAUGAACGGGUUUAUUUAAUUAAUAAAUCUAUCAACGGACAAAAGGUACGCCGGGGAUAACAUUUAAGUAUAAGUAAUGUCCCUGAUACAAGGAAUUGUAUUAUAUAAUAUUAGGUUAAAUUCAAGAAUAAUACAAAUAUAUAUAAUAAAGAGUGUUUAACUUGAAGCUAAUUCUACCAUAGGCAAAUAUAAUGUGAAUGGUCUAUUAGUAUAGAAUAAGUUCAACGACUAAAAAACCUAACAACUCGGCUGAAUAGUUGAUGACAUAGUCUGAACUUAAUUAUUAAUAUUAAGACUAACAUUAUUGAACAGGCUUAUACGAAUAGAGAGUUCAUAUCGACAUUCGUGUUUGGCACCUCAACAUAUAGGGGUAAAUAUUGUAUCUAUUACAUACUUCUAUUUAGCUAUAUGCCGGAACAUUCCAACCGAGUCGGAAAAAAACCUAAAGGUUUUUUUCCUAGACGAUUUUUUCAAAGAAAAAAUCGGACACGUCCUCGCGCGGAGGCUCGUACGUGUCGGCCCGAGACUCGGAAUUUCGAGGGCGACUCGUACCCCGGAAAUCUCCGAUUUCCGUGAAGGUCCCUUUGGGACCGCUAAAUAAAGAACAAUCGGCAGGAAAUAAACUUUUUAAACUUGGAAAGAUCCUCAACGACUAUACGCUAAACGUUAAAAAACAAUUUACGGUAAUAUAGUCUGAACUAUAAAGUAAUUAAUAGGAUAAUAUUUAUAGUUAUAACCUUUAUUAGCUGUGGUGUUUUAGAUUAAACUAUAAAUAUUAAUUAACAUUAUUGCGAUGUUGAAUCGUCGCGUCCUUGAGCUGUACAAGGUUCAAAGGGUUAGGGUGUUCACCUAUUAAAGCGGUACGUGAUUUGAGUUUACUAUGACGUUAGACUCAUUAUGCUAUUGUUGCAUGAUACUAAUUGGAUAAAAUUCAAGAAAAGUAUGAAUGUACGAGUCGGCCGAGAUUCCUGUAUACCAACUUGAAGCUAAAAUCUAUAGAGAAUGUUCAACGACUAAAUAUUCCAACAAUUUAUUUACAAACCCAAGAAGAAUGUACGAGUCGCCCUCGACGAGUCUCGGUCGACACGUACUCGCCUCCGCGCGUGGACGUGUCCGAUUUUUUCUUUGAAAAAAUCGUCUAGGAAAAAAACCUUUAGGUUUUUUUCCGCCUCGGCCGAUAAGAAAAUUUUCUUAGGUAGUUAAAUUGAAGACAUAGUCUGUCCUUAAGAGGAAUUUUAAGAUUAACAUAGGGUACAACGUCGUGAGACAGUUGGGUUUCUAUCUUCUAACACACUUUUAUAACUACUAAGAGGUAAUAGUACGAAAGGACCCUUACCUCCAAAACCCCUAGUUUAGUUAUUGUGAAUAGCAUUGUAACAAAGCUAAGUUUGUCGUAUAAAGAAGUAGUGAUAAAAUAAAUGCACAAAUGAUCUAGCGUAUUGUGUUUAGCAUAUACGUAUAGAACCUAUAAUAAUACUAAACCUUAUACA
rnacentral:rRNA from 1 species